rnacentral:lncRNA from 1 species
CUCAAGCCUGGAUAUACAUUCAACAUGUCCUCUGAAGUAACAACCGUCCCAUCUGGCUGAGAAGUGAUGGACACCGUUCCUUAAUCACACCGUACACUCCGUUCUUGGCACCUCCAUGCCCAAAAGAUAUCAACAAAUUGGAUGGAAUUCAGAGAACAGCAAGAAAAAUGAUUAAAGAGAUGGAGGCACUGACUUAUGAGUAAAGAUGAAAGGACAAAAUCUGUAUAGCUUGGCAAAGCAACAACUGAGGUACCAUAUGAUAACUGGCUACAAGUGUUUGAAGAAAUGUAAACACCAAGAGAGGAGAGGGAACUUUUUAGGAUGAUCUACAGAAUAAGCAGAGCAAAAGAACAGAAUUGAAGAAAUGGGAGAGAUUUCCUAAAGAGGGGAUGUUUGCUCAUCUGUUGCAGAUGCUGAUAAAUACCAGAGUGAAGUCUAAAGAAAACAAUGUGUAUCUCAUGCUUUUAGGUGGCAAUCACGGUUGACCUACACCAAUAAAGUGGCAAUCUGUUUGUAUGCACACAUAUAAUAUUUGUGCUGUCUUUUUCAGUUUACCAAGUGCUUCCACACACAUCAUGUCAUUAAAUUAACAGAAUGAACUUAUGCCAUUACUAAUUAAUCUUAAAUAAGAAAAAGCAGAAGUUUCCUUCUGCCUAGGUAUUGAGGCAACCAGGUAAAUCACAAGCGAAACAUAUGCGACUCUGAAUUUAUAAUCUGCUUGCUUUCUCAACACUCUAUCUUCCAGAAUUCCAAUACAAUUUAGACUAUGCUCACUCACAAUCUAGAAAAAGUAUUUAAAGUUAUGUCUAAAGCAACAGUCCUCAUUCUACCUGUUCUCUUGCUGCUCUUUGCUGGAGGAGAUUAGACAUGAAGUAUUACCUGGGCAAAAUUUUGUGAGUAAUCUUUUAAUUCUAUUGAUGACCCAGUGGGAAAAUGACUCCUGUUUGGCUACUCUCUUCCCUUGGGUGAUGGGUUCCAUCAUGGCUUACUGCCUAAUUCUGUCAGCUGCAGCCCUCAGAUCAUUCAUUAAUGCAAAGUGUUAAGAUUCACUUAAUAUUAUACCCCACCCCAUGUAAGAAUAACCCGAAUAAAAUUCUUUAAAGAGUUGCAGCUCAAAUGUGCUAAGAGAUGUUAUGUGUGUAUUGUUCACUGGUUUCAGGUUGUGAAUCCUUUCCAACCACCUACCUACCACAUGUUAGGUUUCUGAUGGAGAUAUACUUGUAAAGUAAUUCAGUUAUGAAUAUUAUUAUUUCUAACUAGAGCAUUGGGUCCAAAUCCCCUAAAGAUUUCUAACAUUGAUGAAUUGGUCUGGAGUAUGUAUGAGUUACAAAGGCACUUCUGUAUAGAUAAGAGUCUGAAGUAUAUUCUCUGUUUCAUGCUUCCUUUCCCUGGUCCACAUAAUGAUUUCCUAUUAGCUUUCUCUAAGUUAUUGCUGGAAAGGAAAGAAAGACACAUUUCCUACCCAUUAGGAAACUCCAAAGUACCUAUACCAUAAAAUAUAUUGGAAAAAAAGUGAAAGGAUCAAUGUCAAAGUAAAUACUGUAAUGAGAACAUAAAAUCUCCCCCAAAUCAGGAGAAUCUUCCUUGUAGAACUAAGAACUUUUAGACAAUUUUCUCUUCAUCCUGAAAUUUGUGGACCUUUGCACAAAAUGUGUGUCCUUGAUCUAGAACAUAUAAAAACCUCUUGGGAAGUAUAAAGAAGUUGGAAAUGGUGAAACAUUGGCCUUUACUCUAAAAAAAAAAAAACUACAGGAUUUAUCUUAAAUACAAAGAGCUUAGCAAGCGAUGUUUUGGCAUGACAACCCUUCGGAAACAUCUAGGGGCGCCUGGGUGGCGCAGUCGGUUAAGCGUCCGACUUCAGCCAGGUCACGAUCUCGCGGUCCGUGAGUUCGAGCCCCGCGUCAGGCUCUGGGCUGAUGGCUCGGAGCCUGGAGCCUGUUUCCGAUUCUGUGUCUCCCUCUCUCUCUGCCCCUCCCCCGUUCAUGCUCUGUCUCUCUCUGUUCCAAAAAUAAAUAAACGUUGAAAAAUAGUGACAUCUACUCUAUAGCUGGAUCUGUCUGUUAGAUGUUAGAUGAUGGCAAGAUUUUGAGUGUAUAUAUUCUAGAGCAGUAGGUUUCAAAUUUUGAUGUAUAUAUCAAUCACUGGGGAAACUUGUUAAAGUGCAGGUUUGUAUAUAAGAGGUCUGGACUAGGGUCUGAGAUCUUGAAUUUCUAAUAAGUUCCCAGAUGAUGUUGAUGUUACUGGCCCAUGUACUGUAUUCAGAAUAGCAAGAUUCUAUAGGACAUUUUCAUUCUAGCUGUAUGGCACAGCAGUAAAAAAUGGCUACAACUAGCCAUGUACAUUUCAGAGAAAACUCACUUUUGAAUUAAAUUCAUUUCAUAUGGUAUUAACAGAAUGCAUGCAGGUAGCAGGCUCUUAUAUUGGUAGCUUUAUUUACAUUACAAUUUUAUAACAUUUUCCUUCUUUUAAUUCAAGUUCUAUUUUUAAAAAUAUGUUUUAAGUCCACACCCUGAUAAUAAUCCUACUUUGGAAAAGGGCCCUGUGGAAGGAAGGAAGGAAGGAAGGAAGGAAGGAAGGAAGGAAGGAAGGAAGGAAGGGCAGAAGAGGAGGGAAGGUGGGAGGGAGGGAGGGAGGAAGGGAGGAAGGAAAGAAGAGAAGAAACAAAGAAAGGAAGAAAAGAAAAAAAGAAAAGAGAAGAAAAGCUCCAGUCUGUCUGGACCUCUGAGAGAUAUCUUUUGCAAGGAAUUUUUAAGUUUGGGCCCAAAAAGUGGUCUUUCGUUCUUCAUCCUAGAGGCUAUAAUGGAAACUAGGAUGAAGAACCCAACAGUGGCUGUUUGGGAGUGGAGGAGGGGCCAUCCAGACCCAGUGAAUCACCAAGGAAACACAAGGCCUAUUU